rnacentral:rRNA from 1 species
CCUACGGGGUGCUGCAGUGGGGAAUAUUGGGCAAUGGGCGCAAGCCUGACCCAGCAACGCCGCGUGAAGGAAGACGGCUUUCGGGUUGUAAACUUCUUUUGUCAGGGAAGUGUAGAAGACGGUACCUCUUGAAUAAGCUCCGGCUAACUACGUGCCAGCAGCCGCGGUAAUACGUAGGGAGCGAGUGUUAUCCGGAUUUACUGGGUUUAAAGGGCGUGCAGCCGGGAGUACAAGUCAGAUGUGAAUUCCCGCGGCUCAACCGCGGAACUGCAUUUGACACUGUAUUUCUUGAGUACUGGAGAGGCAGACGGAAUUCGUAGUGUAGCGGUGAAAUGCGUAGAUAUUAGGAGGAACACCAGUGGCGAAGGCGGUCUGCUGGACAGCAACUGACGGUGAGGCGCGAAAGCGUGGGGAGCAAACAGGAUUAGAUACCCGAGUAGUC